rnacentral:lncRNA from 1 species
GAGCUGGAGCCGGGCCAGGAGCCCCGGCAAGACAAGGAGGAAUAUUCAUCUGAGACACGGUGGCAGGGCCCGGGAGUGCCCUGGAGCUGGGGGGCUGCCUGGAAUUCCCUGGAACUGGGGAUCUGCCUGAAUUCCCUGGAGUUGGGGAUCUGCCUGAAUUCCCUGGAGCUGGGGAUCUGCCUGAAUUCCCUGGAGCUGGGGAUCUGCCUGAAUUCCCUGGAUCUGCCUAAAUAUCGUGGAGUUGGGGGUCUGCCUGGAAUUCCCUGGAGUUGCCUAAAUAUCCUGGAGCUGGGGGUCUGUCGAAAUUCCCUGGAGCUGGGGGUCUGUCUGAAUUCCCCGGUGUCAGGGAUCUGCCUGAAUUCCCUGGAGUUGGGGGGGGUCUGCCUAAAUAUCCUGGAGUUGGGGGUCUGCCUGAAUUCCCUGGAUCUGCCUAAAUAUCCUGGAGCUGGGGGUCUGUCGAAAUUUCUUGGAUUUGGGGAUUGGCCUAAACUGGGAAUCUGCCUCAAACUUCCUGGAGUUGAGACCUGCCCAGAUUCUGGAUGUGGGAUCUGCCUGAAUUUCCUGGAAUUGGGGAUCCCCACAAGUUCCCCGGAGCUGGAGCUCUGCCGAAAUAUCCUGGAUUUGGGGAUGUGCUUAAAUUCCCUGGAGUUGGGGCUCUACCUAAAUAUCCUGGAUUUGGGGAUGUGCUUAAAUUUCUUGGAUUUGGGGGCUCUACCUGAAUUCCCUGGAUUUGGGAAUCUGCCAAAAUUUCUUGGAUUUGGGUGCUCUGCUUGAAUUCCCUGGAGUUGGGAUCUGCCUGAACCUCCUGGAUUUGGGAAUCUGCCGAAAUUUCUUGGAUUUUGGAAUCUGCUUGAAUUCUCCGGAGUUGGGAUCUGCCCAAAUAUCCUGGAUUUGGGGAUGUGCCUAAAUUCCCUGGAGUUGGGGGGGGUCCACCCAAAUAUCCCGGAUUUGGGGAUUUGCUUAAAUUUCUUGGAUCUGGGGGUUCUAUGUGAAUUCCCUGGAUUUGGGGAUCUCCCCAAAGCUGAGCUGCUUUCUUGGGGUUUUUUUCCCCCCGUUAAUUUACAGAGCCAAGCAGGGGAGGAAAAUCAUCCAGCGUGUGCCCAGGGGUGGGAAAACCCCAAAUCCCCCCCAGAAACACUAACCCC